rnacentral:lncRNA from 1 species
CUUGUUUAAACCAAAAAAAACUGAAAAGCUAACAGUGAAUACAUGGGGGGGGGGGAACUCCCUUGGCAUUGAAACAAAGCAGGUUUUUUUCCUUUCUCUGUGCUUCUUUAACUUGCCUUAUACAAAACGAAGUGGAACUGUAACAAUGAAUUGAGGAGAUGUGGAUGGUAAAAGCAAGGUAGUGGCAUUGGAGGUAAGGUAAAAUCAGAUCUCAGCAGAAAGAAGAUGGGGGAAGAAGUUUAACAAGUUUGCUUUAUGUGCCGCUAUGUCAUGCUUCCUUUUGUUGCUCAAGAAUGCUGCCCCACUGGUUCCUAGGGUGUGAAAGGGCCAUGCUACUGGGAGGAUGUGCCCCACAGACCACCAUAUGUGAGCAACUAUUGGGCUGAUUCUGACAGAAAGAGUGAUCCUUCUGAAAACUGUUGUUUUACUUUUAUUGCAGUUGUACUAUGGGUAGGUAGGCACUUGAACUCAAUAAAGGGAAGUUAAAAUGCCUCUCUAGAAAGUGUUCACAGUGGUCAGGAGGUUUGGAAAAUACCUUCAAAGGAGUUUAGGAGAACACGCUAAAUGCUCUCUAAAAUAAUGGAGUUCCCUCUCACCUUUGCUGCUUCCAAAGGAAUUAAACAGGACAAGAGCACUCAUAGGCUGUGUUGUGCAUACACACACAAAGCAAAGCACAGGAGGAGCUUGACAGACCUUGUCAGGAAGGGGAGAGUGCACAAGGAGUGUGUGACAAAUUCUGGCACAUGUAUACCUCACCAGUGUGAUCAGUGCCUUGAAGCCAGCCAGGUCAGAGUUUACACCAUGGACUGAUAUUUCUCCUUCCUUCGUACACAUCCUAACCUGCUGUUGCACAGUCUGGUGUGAAUGGCAGCACUCUGCUCAGAAGAGACCCAAGACUGGAAAAGCAGGCUGCAUCUUUCUGUCUGUUGGGCAGGACUGGAACUUACUGCUAGAGGCAUCUGAGCCUGCUGGUUUUUCUUCCCUUCCUCCAGUUCCCACCCAGGCCCCCGUACUGAAACAAAGACUCCCACAAAAGCAAAGAAAUAGCUCUAGCAGAUUCCCUAGUUGCUUCCCACAUGUCAACUGCUGCUGCUGCUGUCUGUGGCUUGUGUGAUGACAGUGCUGAUUCAAUUAACUGAUUUUUGAAUCCUUCCUUUCAUAGCCCUUGUGUGGACAGGCAAACCAGUUAGAAUGGCCAGGAACAGAUCAAGUGUAAAUUUUAAAAAGAAAAGGAGGUAGAAUGCUGUUUCCCUUCUCUUUUUCUGUAUGUCGCCUCUGCCUAUUUGCAAUCUGGCAGUUUGGUGAGAGUGUGCACAACAGUUUUGCCUUAGAAGUGUUUGUUAAUUCCUUCCAGAAAGUGAUCAUCCUUCUGCACUACUUGUCCUACUCUUGUUGACCACAAAGCCUCUUCCAGAGCAAAUCUUUGUGAGCUCCAAGGCUGUUCUUCAUAACUUCCCCUUCAACCCAUUUCAGCCUAAAGACAUGCAAGACCUGAUACUUUACAGGCCUUUAUAGUAAAGGACUACACUUCACAUGUAAAGCCAAAGUAUGAUUUUACAGUAUGAUUCCCAUAACAGUUAUAACUCUGACCUUUUUGCACACAUAUUAUUUUUAGUUAAUAUAGAUGGUGUUAACUUUAAUGCCUUUCCCUUAACCCUUAAGGAAGCUAGCUAAUUUCCAGGUUGAUAUGAGCUGGCUAAUUUCCAGUGUUUUGGGGAGACAGCCAAGAUGAGCAAUUCCAAGGUGUUUCUGGCUGGUAUUCCUAAGUGGAGCACAUCUGGAUCUGUGCUUCAUCCCAGGCCUCCUCCCAUUGUCUGUCACCCCCACCAUCCUCUGCCUGCACUGUUGAAGCUAAGUGUCUGUAAUGGCAGGGCUACAAGUUACCAAGCUGCAGCCACAUGUCAUGUUAUCAUCAACCAAGAUGCUUAUGGGGCCUAACCUAGUCAGGCAUGGCUGGUGUCAUGAGAAGAUAAAGCCACCUUGAUCUAGGAGUUGUGAAUGAGUAACAUGUAGCAAAAAAGUGAUACCAUCACCCAUGUACCCACUCACUGAUAAUGAAAUGUGGGUCUAGAUUGGAAAAGACUGCGGCAGGCAGGCAGAAGAGGAAAAGGGAGGAGGGAGUUCAAAUACCACAGCCCAGAGAAAGAAAACCCUGCGUUCAUGCUUGUGUCAGUAGACUGUCUGUGUGCUGACCCCAGGCUCACCUGAGCCCUGGCAAAGCUCUCCUUUGUUCUGUGCUGGCUUUCAGAAUAAAGAGUUAUCCCAUAGCCACUUUGUGACCUGUUCCACCCAGACAGCCUGCCCAUGAUUGCUUCAUAAAGCAAGACCCAGGAAUCAAAAACAGGGCAUGCUUCCUGAGCAGAGAUGGAAAACAGCUGUGCUGGAAAAAAGGAGGGGUUUUCUGGCUGAGCAGUGGAAAAUACAGAUCAAGGCCUGGUUGUGCAAUGUUCUCUGGCUGGCCUUUGGCUGCUAUUGUGGCACAGGGACCAUCUGGUGUUAGCAGGAGACUUGUGCCAGGCAAUGGAAUAGCAAACACCUCUCAUGACUGGAAGGCUGGAAACCCAGAGCUUAGUCCUAAAUGUUUCAAAGUGGACUGAGAGGUGACAAGUGCUGUCUGGUCACGCUGUCCUCUCCACUCUGCUGCAGUCAGACUUGCCCAGCCAGGCCCAGAUGGCAGUUGAGUGGCCAGGGUGAUUACAGUAAAAGCACACAGAUUGUAGGGCUACAGAAAGACAACACUGCCCAGGUAAGAGCUUGAUUCCUGCCUAGUGCUCACAAAGUGCUCACUGUGUGGCCACAGUGAGGGAUGUGGCUAGAUAGUCCAGCCAGGUUCCUGCAUCUGAAUCCUCCAUACCCAUAGUGGGGUGUGGGUGCAUACCAAACAAGACAGUGCAUACAUGUGCUGUGCAAGGAGUCUCAACAAACACUAAUCUAGCAGCUGCUUUGCCAUCACCAUCUUCUGAAGUCAAGGGAAGGCAAUGCCUAGCCUUAACCGCUUGUUGCUUUGAGUCAGGCUCCUGAAAGAGUUCCUGAUUUGUAUUAAAUUCAAAAUCUCAAACCAAAAGUAAAUGAGUCUAUAUCUUUAAUGUGACAUCUGUGUCUGAAACCAGGGGAAAGAGGUGUAGGACUCUAUUGAUUUAUUUUUAUUUAAUUAUUUAAACCUAACUGUGUACAAGAAGGAGAGGCUGGACAAGAACAGAGGGAGAUUUACGCCUCUGAUUCAGAGCCAGAUUAUCAAAAACCUUUCUACUACCUGCCAAGAGAGCCUUGCAACAUCUCUCUUGUCCCAGUGCUCCUCUUUGUAACUAAGGGAAAAACUAAGGGAAGGGGUAAAAUGGUGAGAAGGCAAAAAGCAAAGUAAGCUGGCAGAACCAUUAAUCACCUCCUGGGUUGAUACAUACCAGCUACACUGGCCUUUCUUCUUAGCACCUGGAAUAAGAAAAGACAGUAUGAUGAAUAUUUUUUACCAUAUAGUAUUGCAGCUAUGGAUACACCAUAAUUAACAGAGCACUGGUGCAGGUUGUGGAGUCCACUUCUAUGGAGACACGUACCUGUGUGACCUAUUGUGGGGAACCUGCUUUAGCAGGGAGGUUGGACUCAAUGAUCUCUUGAAGCCCCUUCCAAACUUUGUACUUUGUGGACAAAGAACAAUGACUUUUGUAAGGGCAAAUGAUUAAUUUUAGCUAUUACAGAUAAAAUCAAUUUGUUUAAACCUGGGCAACUUUGUAAUAGAUCCAAAAAUAUAGAACCCAGACAGAUACACAAAAUUAAUAGUUGGUAAUAGCUUCAGCACUCUUAGAGCUGUUUAUUUCCAGUUUAUUUUCAAUACAAGACAGGAUGAAGGCAUAUUUUAGAAAUAAUUUGCAAAGUGAGGUGUUAGUCUUUUGGCUUAUACUGACCUGAAAUUGUUCUUUAUUUUUAAAAAACAUCCUUCCAUUUUAACUUCUUAAUAUGAAGUCUGUCAUCACAGCUCUUAUGGAACAAACAUUCUUCAUCUGUACAUACUCAUCAGGGUCAGAAAUGGAUUUCAGUAUUGGUGAGACAAAAUUUAAUUUAACAAAAAAUUGUAAGUUUUGUUUCCAUAGAAGAGUUUGAAUUUUGAUGAAAAUUAAUUUCCCUGCGAAAAAAGCAAAAACAAGCCUAUCAUUCAAAGUUUUCAUCUGAUGACUGUUUGUUCUUCUAGAGGGAGAAAGGCAGUGGAGAGAAAGCAAGUGUGUGUUUGUGAGAAAAUAACUAAGUCCUACCAAUAAAUGGUGGCAAUGAAAGCAGAGGAACGAAAGUACAAAUUCCCAGGCAUUCCAAGCAUAUCUGCUAUCCUUUACAUCCUGCUCUGGGCACAUCAUUCGUACAUAUCUCAGUGUUCCACUACAUAGGCAGCUGCAUUUCAGUUGUGUUAUUAUAUGAAGAGUUUUGGAUCGUUGUCACAUGAGACAACUCAUACUAUGAGAUGAAAAGGAGCUGACCGCAGCAACGAAAGCAAAAUAGAACAUGCAAUCUAUGAAAUAUGCUGGAAACCACUCAUGCCACAGAGAAAUGGGGGCCAGGAAGCAAAAACUUCCAGAAGAAAUUAGGAAGAAAAAGAAGAGAGAGAGAGAAAAAUGUCAUCAGUUGCUGGGAGAAAAGUACGGGCUGGUUACCAUAUCUGAGCUGUUGAAAAACAGCCACUGGCUUUCUGUAGCUCUUCAUCUGUUUUUCUGUUCAUUUUAGUCCUUCUCUUUAACCUUGCUGGGUAAAACACAUCUCCAAGGACAAAUAAAAAUGAUUUUCUUACCAGUGCUGCUGACUUUGCAGCCUGUCAGAAAACUGACCAAACUUGAAACUCCCUCAGUCAGUCACUUUAAAAUAUAGUCAGAGUUGUGUUUAAAAAAAAGAAAAGAACAAAAUACAUGAAUUCAACAACAGGAUCACUCUGCAGCCUAUUAAGCUCUGGGAGAAAAAGCAAAACUCUUGUGAUGAGCUGUGUGACAAAGGGAAAUGUUGCAUAAAUCUAGACUUGGUUCUUGCAUUAUGGUGCAGAUACUUAGUUGUCUUUAUUAAAUAUAUAUUAUAUUGAAAGAUGUUGAGACCCAGAAAGUUAGCCUGGUAGCUGGAAGAUGCUGUUAAGAAUCCAGACCAUUUUGCUAGGCUCACACUUAACCUGUCCAAAGAAAAAUAUUUGGUUCUUAGUAUUUGAGAGGUUGAAAUCUGCAGUGAGUGCUUUUGUCAUUACUUACAAUCAUCUUCCCUGGAAGCACUUCCUUUUUUUUUUACCUGUACCACAUAUAAACAAAGAACCAUAGUUUCUUUUGGGAAACUUUUCUGCUUCAGAUGCCUCUCUGAUCCUCAAAGAUGUCUGAUGGAGUUAGACUUACUGCCCAAAUAGGCUGAAGGGAUCUGCAGAUCUGUAGGUGCAUCUACCAUCUACUGUCCCUGACAAACAUUGCUUUUAACGUGUGGUUAGAACAUGAAAAGAGUAAAGCAGGAGAAGCUGUUCAAAAACAGCCUCAGCUUACUCAGGAUCAUAAGAAAGGAUAAUGGAGGUAUUUCACCUUUGUCUGCACGUUUACUGUAUGCCAGCCUGGCGAGUUGUUCGUCCUUUCUUACAUUCUAACAAGCACAGAUUUUGGCUUGUGAGCAGUAGGUGCCUGAAAUGAAAACUAUUUAGACUUUGUCUGUUUGUGGGAAGGGUUGUGCUUUGCAAUAUAGCUCAUUCAAAUCCCUGAGCAAGAAUAAAUGAGGGAGGAGAAAACACAGACACAGUCAGAGCAAAAAAUGUAAUUUUUCAAUCAAGCUUUUAAUGAAAAGAUCAUAAAAUAACAGUUUCUCAUCACUGUACAUUAAGACUGCAAAUUUCUGAAUGCUGAGAUCAUAUUAUACUUUCUGUAUCUUUUUAUAUGACACUUGAGUUGAAGCCACAACUACAUGUGGCUCUGACCUGAAUUCAAGCUCUUGAAGGAAAUGAACAGAACACUGCAGCAGGAGUGUCGGCCUUUCCCUUACCCUCCCCUCUUCUCCCCUUCCCCAGGAAACAUCCAGGGCUCCUAGCUGACUGAUAGUUAAGGCUUAAAAUUAAAAAAAAAAAAAAAAAAGUGAGAGAGAUGGAACAUCCCUCUUUUAAUUGCAUUUAAAAUAUUAAAAUAAAACAGGAGAAAAUAUCCAGCCAGCCAAAGUAAGGUCCUGUCCUCAUUAGGAAAGUUAUCCUCAGCCAGUUAGAAUGCUUGUGGAAGUUGGAACAGCUGUCCUAGGUGCUUCAGUUGAUAACUUGUGAAUGAGGAGUCUAAAAAAACAUCCCACCAUUCAGGAAAAGCAAGCACUAUGAAGUGUGGCCCAUAACUGCCAGCAAAUUUUGUUGCAUGAAAUAUUGUUUUAAACCCUCCCUCCAUGUGGCAUCCUGCAGGGUCUGUUCUGUUCAAUAAACGCUGAUCUGCUGAUCCCUAUGUGUUCAACACUAGACUUCAAAAUGCAUAGGAAAACGGGAGAAAGUGGGAAAGAAGAGGAUGAUUACAACAGGAGGAAAGAUAACCUUACCUGUUUGUCUCCUGCACUAAAAUUAGGGCAAUAAGGUACCAUGGGACUUAAAACAGUGCAAAAAAACCUUGGAAAGGAACUUCCAGAAUUUCUUUUCCAAGAUUAUGGCCAGUUCUUGAGCACAAGAGUAAGCUUAUGAAAAAAAAGGUUUUGCAGUAUUUGAAGAAACUUUGUUCAUGCUGAGAAAAUCAUGAAAUUCAAACAAAAAUAAGAAAAAAUGCUAAAGUCCACUUAAAUCCUCCAGGAUCCUGGAAAUCAACAAAUAUCCCCUUUCUUUAUACUAAUUUUUAAGAUUGGUGCAGGUCUAUAACUGCUAAUUCUACCAGUACUGAAAUGAGAGGCUUGUGAAGUAUAGCCUUUCCUAGGGACUCUAGUCACCUUACACAAUUGGGAAUCUGAUGCUUCCACAUCGUUUAUGAGGCCCAUCACAAGAUGGCACAGAUGCUGUUGAGUUUGGCACAGAGUUUCCUCUAGCUAUCUUAGGCAUUGACUCCUUACUUCUGAGAGCCUUAUUGCUUCCACAGAAAACAGUAAGUGGAGGAUGAAAGGGAGUUUUAAAAAGAAGCUAUGUUCUGACCUUCAGGCAGGACUUUAGACUCAUCUCAGUCACAAGCUGCAACUGGAAGCACACAACUGUUACUCUGAUGACUUUUACAUUCUCCACUGAGCACACUGGAUGUUUCCCCUGGUCAAGACCCAUACUCCUGCUUUUCAGAACUGAAGCGACAAGGUAAAAUACUGCUAACCCAGACUGAACCUGCACUGCUUGAAAACAAUGCUUUCUAAACACACGACAGAGAGGAAAAUAAAAACAAAAACAAAAUAGGAAUCUUAGAAAGAGUGACACUGUAACUGGAAACAUUUAAAUACAGCAAAACAUAAAUUCCUCUUCUACGCAAAGCUACAAAAGUCCAGUCUUUGUAUUGUCUUCACAGGUUAUGGUUUAUGGCUAUGCUGAGAGUCUCUGAGAUUCUUUUUUUUUUUUUUUAAAUAUAUUUUUUUCUUUUUUUUUGAAAUCCUGUAGAGAAGACCCUGCAGACACAUCUUUGUGUUUGCAACUUUCUGAAUUACAUUGCAAAACUGUGCAUACAGAAUCUGAGAAAUAAAUACAUUCAUUACUGCACAUACAUCUUGAUACAAAAACAACACUGUCAAAUAGUGUUUGCACCAUCUUUGUUAGAUAUUAAGACCAGGCAAAAUUAAUAUUUCAUUUUCCAUCAGCCGCCAACAAAUGACUGAGGUGGCUUUGGUGUAGAAGGUAAAAGCUACAAAGGAUCAAGACUAAUGAUGAAGAGGUUUUCUAAAAAAAAAUCCUUUUUUUUUUUGGCUUCAGCAAUAUUUUUGCAAACCAUCUUCAUUGGUUGUCAUUAGACUGUUCUAACAUGCAAAUCUAGCUUAGAUUUCACCUAGAAAGCCUUAUGGGUUUUGAUUGGUCUCUUUGCACGUGACUGUAAGGUAUGGAGUGAAUCACUCCAGCUCUUUAAUUAAAUGGUGGCUCAGAUAGUCAGAACAGCAUAGCUCAGGCCCCAGCACAGCUCUGGGCAGAAGAAGGGAGCUACGUGCCUACACUCGUGCCCUCACCCCAGACCAUUAAAGCUUCCCUGGCCACCACUGCAUUUUGCAGGGAGAUGCCACCUCUGCGCAGCCCAUGCUGGCACAGAGUGUGGCACAGAGUUGUGCAUACUCUUCCACAUCAGCAGCCACAGAGCCUCACAGAAGCUGCGUGUCAAUAGCUCUUUGGUGUUUUCUGUGAUCUUUGUGGCUCCUGCUAACUUCCCCGAAUGCACAGAGCUAGGCUUUCAUUUAUUUUUGCCAGGAAUUGGUUUUGGAGGUCUUGCAGUAAGGGCUGGAAAACAGAUAAACCUAGCUCGGCCAUUGAUAGUGCUAGGGAGAUGAGCUGGGUACUGCAGCUCCCUCGUUUCUGACAACACUCCUCUUCUCUGAUCCCCAGAACUUCUCCCACCCCUCUACCAUCUCCUGGGGCUCCUCUGCCCUCUACCCUCCUACUCAGGAUCCUCUGAGGAAGAAGCUGGCUGCUCCCCAUGGCUGUAGGCCAUGGGCAUUAGCAGCAGGGCCUGCACAGUAUGAGGGCCUGGGCCUUGCCCGGCAGCAUCCCUCAUGGGCUGGACACAAAAAAUCCUAAAUCUACGUGCCAUAGUUCUGACUGCUCUCCCUCCCCACCCUCACUGAGCAGUGCUGGAAUGCAGGCCGGCUUGCAGUUCCCAAUGUGGGGAACCUGCAGUAGCCUUCAGAAGAGAAACCAAUGGAAAAAGCAAAGAUUAAUUUUGACUGGCCCCUAGAUCUGUUGAGGUCUGAAACUGUAAAAGUUUAUGUAAACAAUGAGAUAAAUAUAUUAGUACUUUUCUGAGCCAAGUGAGGUUCAAUACUCAUUCAAAUGUGCUUUGGUUUAAAAAAUAGUUUUGUGAAUUUGGGUAUGAGCUUCUUUUUUAUACAACUUUCACUAUUUUAUCUUUUUUUUCCUGUUACUCCGAAAACAUUCUGGAACUAAGUGACUAAAGCAUAUGCUUAAGCUGCCAGGCCUCUUUUUUUCUUUUUUUUUUCUUUCUUUUUUUUUUUUUUUUUUCUCUUUAAAUGUUUUAUUCCUCUUGAGGCUCUCUGUGUAUCUUGGGGGAAAAAAAAAAAAAGCAACUCCCUCCCCCCACCCUAAAACUCUUAAAAUCUUAAAUAUGAAACUAGCGUUUUGCUUUCUCAUUAAAAUACAGAAAAAUGUUUGAUACAAUACUAUGUCGUACAAAUGUAGUUGAGUGUUCAGGCCCCAAGCAGGCCUUAAACAGUCCCUGAAGUUUUGAGUAUUAUUAGUUAUUCAUUAUUACUGUCACAAUUUGGAAAAUGUCUAUACUCAAUCUACGGAACACAACUUUACACAGCUACUUGAAAAAAGAACAAAAUUUCCUUUUGUACAAUACUCUUGCUGUACACAGACUUUAUGUCGUAUUGUUUAAGUGCUGGGGGAGGGGGGUAAAGUAAAAACGCCGCUCUGGGGGGGGAGGGGGGGGGGGGAAGCAUUGGGUCCUGAAAUUUCAAAAUGAUUCUCAAAGCUUAAGAAAGAAAUGAAGAGGGGACCUAGAAGGGGAAGGAGAGGCUAUGUCACUCACACACAUGCUUGUAAAAAUGGAAUUAAACAAGGGGGAGCAGGUUGGUUGCCCACUUUGGAUCUGACCGUGCUUCCCUGAGCUGUGGGUGCUCCAUGCCUUGGCUCAGCAGCCCCAGCUCUAUUUGUGUCCCAGGGCCUCUGCACAGCUGCCCUCCCACUUACCCCAUCACCACAGCACACUGCAGGGCUAUGAGCAAAGGGGCGAAAAUGGUGCCCAAAACCUACUUCGGAGGCAGAGCUUAUUGCCAGCUGCAUGUUUCUCACUAAGAGAGCUAAAGAUUAUUGUGAAAAUCGGGACUUGGUGAGUUCUGAGUCAGCCAGCAGAAAAGGAGGCUCUGCUGUGGCAGCAGCCAAAGCCAGCAUGGGAUUGAGCUCAGCUUUCAGGCUGCUGGAGGGAAGGUGAAGGCAGCGUGAAAGUGCCUUGGAACUAAUUUUGCAUGGCUGUCCUUACACCCUGCUGGGACUUACUCCGAGAAGAAGGUAGAUGGCAAGGCCUUCCCUGUUUUCCCCAAAGAUGAUUUUGGGGAUGUUCUUAGGGAGGGGGGUUGGCAGGGAACUGAGGGAAGAAAAAUUCAAUAUAAAUUCAAAAUGUGGAAGUGCUAAAGACACUAAAAACACACCUAGCCCCCCAGAAGAAAAUAGCGUGCCUCAGCACAAUGAGAAAUGAAAAGUCCGUGCGCCCCUGAUUACCCCCAGCUCGCAGCGGGGCCGGAGCAGGCAGACAAUAGCACGAGCAAACAGCACAGCAGAGCGGGCAGGAGAGGGGCAGCGUGUUCCCUGUAACGUGACACCAGGCCAAGGCGCAGCUUGGUUAGUCUAUUGCUUGGAGCCUGGAUUCCAGCUUCCUCAGUUCAUUCAAUUGACCCAACAACUUCUUUUGGACUAGUCCAUCUUAACCCAAAAAAAAAAAAAAAAAAAAAAAAAAAGAAAAAAAAAAAAAAAAAAAAAGAAAAAAGAAACUGGAUAAAUCCCUGUUUUAGUUGGAAGUUGAUUAAGUAUUUGAGAAUCCAGUAGGGACAGGGGUGGGAGAGAGUCCAACAUCACCAGCUAGCAAGGUUAGGGAGGCCGCAUCUUGCUUAGGGCUGUCUGUUCAGCAAAAUUCAGUGAUGUGCAGAGAUAAAGAGCCAAGUCUUGGGGGGGCACCACACCUAGCUGAGGAUGAGACUUCCCUUACAAUGAGAUAUUCUGCUUCAUAGUGUCAUAGUCAAAGGUAUUUUUGCAUUAAUCCGUACAAAAAUGUGCCUACACAAGACUGAAACCAGUAUCUGCCCCCAAGGAAGGAAAUGUAUUUCAGACUUUGGGGCUGGCAAAACUGAACACCAGCAUGCAGGGACUAAAAAACAUGGGUUUUAGUCAGCAGUUCUGCUCACCUAUGCAGGCAGGGAGGUCCUAGGCGCACUGCAGGCACCUUUCAGAUAAGUAUUAACAAGAUUCCAGAUGUACAUCCCCAUGCAAUAAGAGUCAACGUCCUUCUCACAGUGAGGCUAUCCCAUGGGCCACGUGAGGCUGGAGCCAAGGAAUCUCCAGUCCAGGGCCUCCUCCCUUGCCAACAACAUUUUGUUUAUGAAGAGGAGAAUUUGUUGUCCCCUCAGGGUCUGGUUAUUCUACCUCACCUUGCUCAGAAUUCAGAGCUUUUACAGAAAAGAUUAAUCUAACUGCCAAAACUAACGAAGUUCUAAAACAAAACAUGCCUUUUGCUCUGUCUUCUGUAUUUCCACCAGCCACCAUUAGUUCAAAACCCGCUGGCAUACUGGAUGUUUACUG